rnacentral:ncRNA from 2 species
UAAUACAAAAAAUAAUUAGGUGCGAAAAGCUUAAUAGAGGAAGUUGGGUGAGAAUCCCUCACAGUGAAUACUGCUGUAUGGUGGACGAAAUCACAAGAUGCCACUGGGAAACUGGGAAGGCGUGAAAGUAGAGAGAAGCUGAGUCAGAAGACUUACCAAUUUAUAUCAUGAAAA